UGGGGAAUAUUGGGCAAUGGGCGCAAGCCUGACCCAGCAACGCCGCGUGAAGGAUGAAGGUUUUCGGAUUGUAAACUUCUGUCGCGAGGGACGAAGAAUGACGGUACCUCGUAAGAAAGCCCCGGCUAACUACGUGCCAGCAGCCGCGGUAAUACGUAGGGGGCGAGCGUUGUCCGGAAUGACUGGGCGUAAAGGGAGUGUAGGCGGCCGAAUAAGUUAGAUGUGAAAUCCCGCGGCUUAACCGCGGAACUGCAUCUAAAACUGUACGGCUGGAGUGCAGGAGAGGUGAGUGGAAUUCCUAGUGUAGCGGUGGAAUGCGUAGAUAUUAGGAGGAACACCAGAGGCGAAGGCGACUCACUGGACUGUAACUGACGCUGAGGCUCGAAAGCGUGGGGAGCAAACAGG
rnacentral:rRNA from 1 species